rnacentral:rRNA from 1 species
UGGGGAAUAUUGCGCAAUGGGGGCAACCCUGACGCAGCAAUACCGCGUGAGUGAAGAAGGUUUUCGGAUCGUAAAGCUCUGUUAUUGGGGAAGAAAACAUGACGGUACCCAAUGAGGAAGUCCCGGCUAACUACGUGCCAGCAGCCGCGGUAAUACGUAGGGGACAAGCGUUGUCCGGAAUGACUGGGCGUAAAGGGCGCGUAGGCGGUCUAUUAAGUCUGAUGUGAAAGGUACCGGCUCAACCGGUGAAGUGCAUUGGAAACUGGUAGACUUGAGUAUUGGAGAGGCAAGUGGAAUUCCUAGUGUAGCGGUGAAAUGCGUAGAUAUUAGGAGGAACACCAGUGGCGAAGGCGGCUUGCUGGACAAAUACUGACGCUGAGGUGCGAAAGCGUGGGGAGCGAACAGGA